UGAUAUGUUCGUAGUGCAGCGAACAGUAUAAUCAAAAAAAAAUGCACUAUAUU
rnacentral:sRNA from 12 species